UCCACUAGGGGUGCGUUAUGCUGAGAGAGGCUGUUUGCCUUGACCCUUAGAACCUGAUCUAGUUAACACCAGCGUAGGGAAGUGGAAUUU
rnacentral:ncRNA from 1 species